AAUGUCCCAAGUUUCGCUUGCAAUUCUAAGGUGUGCACACUUACUAGAUCAUAAAAAAUAAAAAGAACUAUAAGAUAGAUAUUACAAGCUGUUUCAGUUAACUACAUUUGUUCUGAGUUCACACACCGAUCAUUGUCAUGUCUUGAAUAGGAACCUAAGUUGAUAUAACAAAUUGUGGAGAAAAUUAGUUACAGUACUUUCUAUGCAUUUUCCUGCACUUGAUCUCAGUACAAGAAAAUUUAGGAUGAAAGUAUCUGAUUUAUCAGUAUACCGAUUCAUCAGUAUAUAUUAGUUUGACUCCAGAAUAUUAAAGUCUAUGUGCAUUUAUUUGAUUGAGUUAUGCUUUUAACUAUUACAUAUUAGUGACUAUCCACAUUCUGGCCACCUAGACUCUAGCUGAAUGAUAAAGCAUUUUUUUUGGGGGGUGGGUGCAUGAAAAGGAGCAAAAGGCAAAGGAUAUGAAGUAGGGCAGAAUGAGGCUACUCUGCCCAUCGGACGGGCCGACAGGCUACUCCUUUCCAGCACUCUGCCGCCCGCUACGUAUCUCUAUUCCGUUGGCUGGAACUUUCUCGGCGCCUCUGCUCUCCCAUUUCCUUUAUUUCCUUUGUGGAUCCUCGCGCUUCUUCCAGACGAAGAUCCUUCCGUCCUCUGACUCGCACUUAGAGCAAGGCUUAUAACCUCGCCUACUUGCCGGCGAAAAGGAGCUCCAGCUCAGAUGGGUGCUGCCUAUUUUAUUCAGCAGCUGUAGCUCAUUUAUUGCAUGAAAGCGACGGGUAACCAAUUGAAAGCCAAAGGAGCGGCGCUGGCAAACUCAAAUAGUGCAUGCGCCCGCUGAAUGUCGCCGUCUCGCCAGACGCCCGCUACCUUCUCUCUCAUGCCUUCUCUUUCUUCCACAUCAGUAUUUCGCCCGCUCGGCGGUCAUUAUAAUACCUGCUCUUACGCUUCCAGCCGCGCUGACCGACGCCCAACCUGCCGGCGCCUCCUCCCGCCUUUCAGGCCCUCGCCCCUGGCCACGGUACACCUCUUCUACCUUGGGUAAAGGAUCCAGGUCUUGCAACGCUGCUUCAGUGACUGCCAUCCCCUGACUGGUGGUUCUGCAACUUUUUCUAUUUACUUAGGGAACUAGGUCUUGCAAUGUUGCUUCAGUGAUGGCCAUCCCUGUCUGCUAGUUUUGCAACUGCUCGUCUCCUGUUAGGGUAAUCUGCCCCAUGAUUUCAGUCGCUGCUGUCUUUGGUCACAGUUCUGCUUAGAGAC